AUGCGGAGCUCCGUGCACGUCCCAGCCGCGGUGGAGGCGCUGCUGGGCCACCCGGUGGCGGCACUGUCGGAGAGGCCGGCGCCGCGGCUGUCGCGGCUGCUGGUGAACGUGACGGUGGAGCGGAGCCUGUGGCCGGUGCAUGUGGUGCUGGGCGCCGACGCUAAGGUGGCCGACCUGGCGCGUGCCACGGUCGACGCCUAUGCCGCCGAGGGUCGCAGGCCGCCGCUCCCGGCCGAGGACGGCGCAAUCGACAAGGCCGCACGGUUCUUGUUGCACCUCUCCAAAUACGCCCUCGACGCUCUGGACCCGGAGGCGAAGGUGGUGGACUUGGGCUCUCGCAACUUCUUCCUCUGCGCCCCCAGGUCGACGCUGAGAUCAGAUCAUCAUCUGCUUCUUCGCUCAUCGCUGACAUGUCUUAUGUCUGAAGGAAAGUAG
rnacentral:rRNA from 1 species